GCCGGGCACGGUGUCGCGCACCUGUAGUCUCAGCUACUCGGGAAGCUGAGGCAGGAGGAUCCCUUGAGCCCAGGAGUUCUGGGCUGUAGUGCGCUAUGCCGAUCGGGUGUCCGCACUAAGUUCGGCAUCAAUAUGGUGACCUCCCGGGAGCGGGGGACCACCAGGUUGCCUAAGGAAGGGAGAACCGGCCCAGGUAGGAAACCAACGUGGGACUCAAUCUCCACACUGCGGGUUCACACCCUGAGCCAAAGGCAGAUGCUCAACCACUGAGCCACCCAGACAUCCCUAAUUUCAG
rfam:Canis lupus familiaris chromosome X, whole genome shotgun sequence.